rnacentral:rRNA from 1 species
GUGAGGAAUAUUGCGCAAUGGAGGCAACUCUGACGCAGCCAUGCCGCGUGCAGGAAGAAGGCGCUACGCGUUGUAAACUGCUUUUAACCGGGAAGAAACCCCAGGACGUGUCCUGGGUUGACGGUACCGGAGGAAUAAGCACCGGCUAACUUCGUGCCAGCAGCCGCGGUAAUACGAAGGGUGCAAGCGUUAUCCGGAUUCAUUGGGUUUAAAGGGUGCGUAGGCGGAGCGUUAAGUCAGUGGUGCAAUCCUGCAGCUUAACUGUAGACUUGCCAUUGAUACUGGCGCUCUUGAGUGCGCUUGAAGUGGGCGGAAUGUGCCGUGUAGCGGUGAAAUGCUUAGAUAUGGCACAGAACACCAAUUGCGAAGGCAGCUCACUAAGGCGAUACUGACGCUGAGGCACGAAAGCGUGGGGAUCGAACAGGAUUAGAAACCCUUGUAGUCC